GCACACCAGGCCUGGGGAUGCAGCUGCCCUUGCUGAGGGCUCACGCUGGGCCAAGGGCAGGUGGUCUCCCUUCCUGGGGAAAAAGGGAAAUGAAAACAGGAGAGGGAAGUGGUUUCCCUGAGCGGCAGAAGGUCACAAGUGCCCAGCGCGGGGACGGUGGCGGCGGAGGCAGUGGGCCCUGUGCUGCUGUUGCCUUGGGACCCUGGGGAGGAGCAGCGGGCCCCCAGCCCACAGGCAGCCAGAUCCCUGGACACACACGGAGACCCCCCCUCUGCCGAGGAGAGCCGUCAGGGCGCCUAGGGGCAACACCCCCUCAUCACAUCACACCCCGGCGUCCAGGCGGCCCUGGCCCCAGGAAGACUGUUCAUCUGUGGUUCACCCGCGGUGGGAGUUGGGGCAGAGGUGACAGGGGUGCCCAGAGAAGUAACAUGAGGAGGGGGGCGCUGUCGGCUCCUGGGAGCACACUCGUUAUUGUCACUCCAAAAGGAAAGCCUUCUUCCAGGACUUCCCUGAGCCCAGGGUGGCCGGAGACAGCUCUCAGCAGGUGCCCACAGGUCGGGACAGCAGGAGAUUCCCCGGGAAAGGCCUAGGGAGCUGCAGGGAAACUGAGGUUGGCAAAGCCCCCACCAGCCAGGGUCAGCAGCCCCAGUGACUGGGGUGGGGGGGGGCAAGACCCCCGUGCUCUCUCCCCCAGAUGCCAUCUGGUGAUAUGCUGGCUGUCACACUUGGUGACUCACCCUCACACCCACUCUGUGGCAGGCAUCAUGUCUCCGGUGCCCGGAUGAGGAAGCUGAACCCCAGGACUCAGCCUGCAGGAAGCACAAGAGAGGGCACCGGUGCUGUGCCUGCACCCCAAGCCCUCCCCGGGGCCCCGGCACCCCCCUCCUGCUGCUUCACCCCAAGUGGGAUGCACAUUCUCGAGAGGGGCCAGGGGACAGGAGGGGCUGGCCCGGAGGCUGGGCAGAAUUUAAGCUGGAGGAGGCUGCUCGGUGAUGUGUUUGCACAUGCACGCACGUGGGCCGGGGUGCAGAAACCCAUCGCCCCGCUUGUUCGGACUGGGUCACCACCACAGGCUUAAAAGGCAAAGGUUUUGUCCCCAAGCUGCCGAGGAAGAAGCCUGAGAGAGUCGGUGACUCAGGACGUCCAGCUCAUCAGCUGGUGUUGGCCUGUGUGACUCCUGGUCAGGUGCCCGCGAGCCUGGGGACAGCGCUGUUGACCAACAGGGCCAAGUGGGUGAGCUCACGGCAGGAGAAGGGUGUCUCCUGUCGGUGGAUGGGACCACAGGGGGAGAGGUGACCACGGGGAGGUGACUUCCCCCUUGCAGUGCAGGAUGAGGGAGGGAGCUGGCCUUCAUCGGAGGAAGAGGAGGGCACUUACCCUGUGCCCCGUGUUCGGGGAGGACGAGGGACAGCAGGUCUUUGUCCCCUCUGGGGUUGCAGGAUGGCCUGGGCUGACCGGAUUCCGUAGCUCACGGUCCCUAGUGCCUUGGGCGCUCUGUUGCUAGGACAGGCUCUCGCCCUCAGCAGGGCCUUCCGCCCCCUGGGGCCCCGUUUGUGCCUGAUCAUCAGGCCGCUGUGUUCCAGGGAUCCUGGAGCUCGCGAGAGCCAAGCCGAUGGUGUCAGCACAGGCCGGGCAUGCAGGCUGGGUGUGCACCAAGUGUGCACCGGGUGUGUGGGCUAGGUGUGCAGGCCGGGCGUGCUGGGCUGUGCUAGCCCUGCCGUGAGGGAGUGCCGGCGUGUGCAGGGCUCAGCCUGCGCGUGUGUGCGUGUGCAUGUGCACAUGCGCGUGCGUUCCCGAGCCCGAGACCUCCGUUGCCACGGGGAAAAAUGUGCCGUGGUCGCCACCGUGCAAGUUGUCCCGAAGGAGGCCAGAGGCCGAGGGUCUGUGCGGAGCGAGACCCGAGGAUGCCGGGGGUGGGGGUGGGGGUGGGGGUGGGGGGUGUGAAGCCUGAAGUCAUUUCUGCUCCAGAAACCAGACGCACGCGGGUUUUCCUUCCUGGGCCGGCGGAAUCCUGCUCAUCCAGGCAGGAGGAAGUGAGAGUUUACUGUAAACAGGGCUCCCCGUAGCCUUCGUUUAUGGUCAAAUAUCACAAAGACCUGCUGGAGACCAGGGCCUGUGGGGAGAGGUGCCCGCUGGCAGGCGCACCUGCCCCUGACGUGGAGGGCGGCUCUGCCCCGGCUCCGGGCUCCGGGCUCCUCUAAGGCCGAGGGGCUGGGCCCCCAGCUCCUUGCGCGAGCUCCUGGGCCCGCGGGGCCCGCCUCGAGCGGACAGCUCUGUGGCCGUGGGGCUCCGUGCAGAGUCGCGGCCUGCCCGGCGCGAGCCUGGCUGACUCUGCACAGACGUUACGCUGUGUUUUUGUGUAAACAGGAGUCCUUUCAGGUGGCAUUUCAUCCUUGACUUUGAGACUCAGGUGACUUUCUCUCUGGGGGAUAGAGUCCCGCAGGCUGGACUCCAAGUUCCCGAGGACCGGCCAGGAUCCUCCUGGGCACCGUGCCCGGGGAAGCUCCGCCUGGCGGGAGGCCUCCUCCCCACGAGGACGCGCCCACCCUCCCCCCGGCCCCUGCUCGGCUCCAUCGCGGGGCUCCAUUCUGGCUCCGGCUUCCGGGCCCAUCGGGGAACAGCUCCGGUGAGACCGGACACCGGAGUCGGACUCAGACAACGGGGAUCGCACCCCCGGCCUUCUCUCCUGAGGACCUGACCCUGGUGGGGACGGACGGAGGGCGGGAGGGAGGCACCUCCACCCCGGGCAGACGCUCUCAGGGUGACUCAUCCGGGUGCGGAGCCACGACAGGCUUCACUGCUCACCCUGGCUGCGCUUGGUUUGGGAAGGUGUGGAGACCAGUGACUUCUCGUGACCCGGGGUUGAGGCACCCGUGAGCUUGCCCAGGCAGGGCCCACGCUGGGCAUCAAAUCCACACUACGCGGAGGCCGGAGUGGCUUUCAGGAGUCCCGCCAGGCCCCUGCCUGGCUCUGUGCUGCCAGGAGCCCUCUGCAGCCUACCCCGGGCUCCGGGGCUCGGCCCUCCCCCAUCCCAGGGUGCCAACCGGCCCCUGGAAACAGGUGGGGCCUGGGGUUCCCAGGCUGGAGGCUGGGGGUGCUGCUCAGGGUUUUGAUGGACCCACGGAUCGGACAGAGGAGGUGGAGAGACAGAGAGACGGGAGGAGAGGGGAAGAGAGAUCCACCUCGUGGCUAAGUGGGGAGACUGGGACAGGAAGGUGGGGUCAGCACGUGGGAGGGGUGCAGGGAUUCUAGGCAGAGAUGCCGUGGUCGGUCAAUUCCAUCACGCUGCUGGCAGACAAUGCAGGCCAAGGAUUGAUUUGCCAAUUACGUUUGGUCCCCAUGAGUGUGAACCUGCAUGUUUGACCACCUGGUGCUCCGGGGUGGCGAGAGGCAGGACAGUCCACACAAUGCCCACCUCACUGCUUUGCCGCACGUGGCCUCCACCCCGCCACUCGCUGCUCAUCGCCCUCAGCCCUUCCUGCAUCGGCCCGCCCCCGCCCCCAGCCUCUCUGAGAGCCUUUGCCUGGGUAGCUGCACACAUCCUCCGAGACCCAGCCUGCCCUUCCUCUAGUUUCCACGGUACCUCUGCACCCCACUGCCUGAGCGCCUAGGUAUAGACCUGGCAUUCCCGCAUGAGUGUUGGUCUCUUUAUAUUGCUAGAACUCCCUUGGCUCAGAAUCUCCAUUCAAAUGAACUUAAGUAAAUAGGAAAUGUAUUGGCUUACAUUAACUACAUCUCCCAGGAGCAGCUUCAGGCUUGGCUGGAUCCAGGAGCCCCAGUCAUGGCCUCGAGUCUUGGCCUCUCUCUCCCUGUCUUGGUUCUGCUUGUCUUUUAUUGACUUCAUUCUGGGUGUCAACUCUCUCCCCGUGGGGUGGAGGUGGCCUCUGACAAUCCCACAGUUGCCUCCUACCAAGUGAGCCCCGAUUUUCUGGUCACUCUGGGAACAAGUCCCAGAGGGGGUUCUCAUGUUGUGAUUUGGGUCACGUGAGCAUCGCAGAACCAACCGCUGUGGCUGGCAGACGAGGUACAUGUCUGUCCUUAUACUGAGUAAGGGCAGCCCCGCAGGAAGGAGAGGUUUGCUGCCUGGCCAAGGGGAGAGGGAGGCUGGGCAGUCUCCCCAGCGGGCCGGGUGAGUUCCUCACGAGAAGGUUGUGCAUUUUAAAUGUCUCUGCACCCGUGGCCCCCUGCACAAUGCCUGGCACAUGGACGGGUACAGUCUUUCUUGACUAGCAACUGCCCCUCUCCCACGUAGGGGCUUCUUGGCUUUAGAGAGUAGGGCACACGGGCUCUGGGGAAAUUAUAAAGUGACAAAGGUCAUCUUUGGGAAACCUCUCGGCUGCCCAGGUGUGGCUCUUCCUCCUCUGAUGGCCUCAAGAUGAAGGAUUAAGCUGCAGCAGAACGGACAGGGGGCAGAGGUGGGCAGGCUUUCCUGGCCCCUGAGGCCCUUCCCACAAUUAUCACAGUGUUCAGCUCCAAAUCAAAACCCACGGCCUACAGUGGGGUGGAAAAUGCCACAUAGAUGCUGGAGGCUGUCUGCUGUGGUCAUCCCAGACACCCAAUGCCAGCCUUGGCAGAGAAUCAGAGCCUCGAGGCCAUGAUGUGGGGUCCUGGAUCUAGCCAUGCCUGAAGCUGCCCCGUUGUCAACAGAACCUCCCUGCUUUCAGAGGCGGGUAAGGAGUUGGUGGAUUCGGUUCUGGACGAGCCGUGUGUCUCCUCAGCGUCCCCCAACACUCCCCGCCGCCAUCGCUGGGGCUGGCUGCUUCCAAGGCUCUCCCUCUGCUGAGCCCACCCCCAGGGCGGGGAUGCAUCGGGUCCUGACGUCCUCUGAUCCCGGGGAGCCUGGAACCUCCGUGCGUGACAUUCACGCAGGUCUGCAGCUCUCUCUGCCCUCAGCCUCUCCUUUCCUUCCCCAGGCUAAAAACGCAGACAAGUGCACCCCCACCCACCGUAACGGGUUCUCUGGAGUCUCGAGGGUGAGGAACGCCACCGCAGAAAAGGCGGCGAGGCCACAGCGCACGUGUUCUCUCUCUGCGGGACGGGUCUCAGAGCCUCAGCUCGGGGUGAACACAGAGCGGUUUUGUUGGGGCCAACAGCCCCUCCCGAUCAUGCUUUGCGGCCUCCUCCCCUGCGCGGGCCCCGCCACACCCGGUCACUUUGGGUGGUCGGGGUGUCGUCCUCUGUCUAAAGCAGCUUCUCAUCCCGCCCAUGGCCCGCCUGGCCGGAGCCGGACUGUGUCACACGGGGCUCCGGCUGCCCCCGGCCAAGGUGCCACCAGGUCUGAUGCCCUCAGCCUCGUGGCCUGCCCUCGCGAGUCAUCACGCAUAAAGCCCGGCAGGGAGGUUUCCGUCCCCGGAGGGCCUCUCAGGAUCGGAGUGGGGUGCAGGGGGAGUGGGGGUGUCAGGGGCUGCUUAGCUCCACUGCCAUUUGCAAUCUCAGUCACCGACUCCGGGGCUCUGGUAAGCACCUCCCUCUCAAUCCCGUUCUCACCGUGCCCUCGCUAGCUCCCCAGAUGCCACCCCGCGGUCCCCGGCUCCUGGUGUCCGUGCCCUUGUGGAGUCUGGGCUGCUCUGUGCCAAGGUGAGUGGCAGCCGGGACGAGGUCACAGGCGACAUUGUGGUUUCCACCUUACCCCCUUUCGGAUCACUGACCCUGGUGGACCCCGGCCGCCAUGCUGUAAGGAUGUCCGCGUGGCUCUUCAGAGAUGCCAAGUGGCCGGGCACUGAGGGCCCUGCCAACGGCCGUGUGAACUCACCUUCUCGAAAACAGACCCUCCGGCCCCGGUGACACCCGCACGUGAUGCCACCCUGUCUGACAUCUUAGCUGCAGCCUCGUGAUAAACCCUGAGUCAGACCCCCCAAAUCCCUGAGCCACAGAAACCACGAGGUAAUAAACGCUUGUUGUUUAAAACAGCUAGUUUUGGGGUAGUUGUUACAGAGCCCCGGGUAACUCCUCUCCCCUGCGUGCGCCCACACCUACUGGUUCUUGCUGUGGGAAACAAAAGCAAAGAAACAAAUCAAAUUUCCUUACAACGUACAGCCCAUUGACAAGUCCUUGGGACAGGCAGGGUGACCUUCCCCCGGGAGCUCAGCGGCCUGGAUGAGGACACUUUGCUCGGGGCAAAAGUCGAUCUUAGCCUGACACUGUCCACUCUCCAGGGUCCUGUGAGUCUCCUUUAACAAAUAAAGAUUCCUUUGGAAACUUCCUUUGUCUCAACACCCCCCACCCCAAGAUAUAUGCUGGCAAUCAUCCUCCAAGCAUGUGGCCCCCUGAUCUCCAUCUGAAGGGUCUCAUGACGGGGUUUUGACUAAACAGUAAUAAAUGACCUUUUCCCAACAACAGCAAGCCCCUCCGGGUCCUGGAAGCCUUGUUUCCAAAACUCCCGGGAGGCCUGUGCUGUCCUGAACCCCUCCCACCCUGAACCCCUCCUCGCAACCCCAGUGCAGCUCUUUCUGUGCACGGGUCCGUCCCCCUGCUUUAAUAAAAUCACCUCUUUCUUUGCACGGAAGACGUCUCGGGAAUUCCUCCUUGGCUGUUCGCUCCGAACCCCACGUUUCCACGUCAGCUCUGUUCUCCUGGAGAGCCCUGCCCGUCCCGGCACACACUCAGGCCACCCACCCCCCCAGCCCCCAAUCCCCGCCUUGCUUCUUCAGGUCUGUCUACGCUCCUGCCCACAGUUCCUUGGUUACACGCUUCUCAAGUGAGCCGGUUUGCACGCAACAGCCAUUUCUUGUCAGGCCCACGCUUGGCAAAGCCACCCCACCCCCACCCCCAGUCAAGACCCAACCAACUGCCACUGGAAGGGACUUUCCGGGCCUUUCCCAGCUGGAGAAAUCUGGAAGCAACUUUGACCUUUUCCUCAGAUCCACCCACAGCAGCAGCGACGGCUGAGGACCCAUAAUAAAGAAAAUGCAAUCGGAUGCACUGGAACGACGUUCUGCUUUCUCAUUGCUAACCGUCAACCUCCGCAGGCUCAGGGCCGACCAGAGAGCACCCGCCUUGCCUGGCAGCAGGCAGCCCGGUGGGGCCCGAGGGCCAGCGGCCAGGGUGCUGGCAGGAGCCCCAUCCUGACAACAGAAGCCCGCUCCUGCCUGCCCGGUUUCUGCAGUGAGCACACCCUAUCAGAGAAGGAGCUGGAAGCCCAGAAAGCCGCUGGCAGGGCUGAGAGAAGGAAGGGCGUCAGGAAGAGAGGACGGACCAAGUCACACGCAUGGGACUGUGUGCCCUCCGCCGCCCCACCGAUACCCGGCCAGGCCUUCGUCAUCCUCCCCUGGGUCUCUGGGCGCUCUCUCAGCUGGGGCGCCCAGGACGGCACUCCCUGACUUCUGAGCACAUCCGCAGAGCAGCUUUGCCGGCGUCCUGAAGGGCGGUCAGAGCGUAUGGACGGGGACGGCUGCCCACCACACUUGCGGGCCUUUGCCAGUGCUGGCUCCCCUUCCUUCACCCUUGGCCUCCGCCACACCUCCAACCUUCUAGCUCCCGUCCCGAGAUCUCAGGUGUCAGUCGCCGGGAAGAUGUGACUAAUCCCCCCACCCAACACCCGGCCUGUCUUCGCCCUGGAGCGGCCACUCAUCCCAGCUGCCAACGACGUGUUCCUGUGCGUGUGAGCGGCCGCGGGGGUCAGCAUCUGCUCUGGGACGACGGGCUCUCCGAGGCGGGCUGUCCGCUCUGCCCACCGCCUCGCCACCAGUGCCCGUGCAGGAGACUCACACAGGAGUGUUUGUUGAUUGACUACACAAGAGGAUGCCCUAAACGGCACGUGUUCAUUCUGCCGAGUGGCUGAGAGAACCGAGCCUACGUGACCUGAAAUGUUAUGACAUCACGGCCACAUGAAGAGACAAUCAGGGUAUCCAGUUGAAAUGUAGAAAAAAGGGAAUUAUCGGGGCACCUGGGGGGCUCAGGCGGUUAAGCAUCCUACUUCGGCUCAGGUCAAGACCUCACGGUUCAUGAGUUCAAGCCCCACAUCCGGCUGUGUGCUGACAGCUCAGAACCUGGAACCUGCUUCAGAUUCUGUGUCU